UGCUUCUCACCAUCACUGGGAAAAGACUCACCUCCGUACUCUUGUUUUUCCUCACCUUCUUUUUCUGUGAGAUUAUCUGGUAUUUGUUAUAGAUCAGACAUAUUAGUUCCAUGUUGUGCGGUUGUUUCUUACGACGUUGUAUGUUAUUUCAAUCAAUAUUGGUCCUCUUUUUCCUUAGGUUUUGGCUAAGGUUAGAAACUACAUUUCCUCGUCGCUGGUUUGCCGUCAAUAGUCUCUGCUCGUCUUGGUUUUCAAAAUCUGGUUUUGGGUGAUCUAACUUCUUUGUUUUUUUUUCAUAGCUCGAGGAUGGCUCCACGGUUUAUUGAUUUCAUUUUAUCUCUUUUUAUCUCUUUGUUCACUCAUCUCGUUGCAGCUUUCAUCGCUGAUCACGUCUCUGGUGGCUCUCUCUUUCGCCAUAUUUGCUACUCCAGGUUUGGAUACUGUUUUUCUCUGUGUAUGCUUUGUGCACUUGGAAAGUUGUUUAUGGUCUCAAGCUUAAGCUUUGGCUUCUCGGUGGUUGGCUUCAAUUCUCCCCCAUUCAGGUUGUUUAUCUUCUUCUCAUGCAUCCUUUAGUGUAGGUGUGCAGAGUUAGUAUUUUGAAGCUUUGGUUUCUUUUAUUCGGAGUUUUGUGGUUCUUCGCUGGCAUGAACGCCUUGUAUGUGCUUGUCUAGUUUGUGAAGUACUUAUUAUCUCUUAGCUGGUGGUUGUGCUUCCGGUGCUUUAGACAUGCGUUUUUUUGUUUCGUGGUGACUUUAUUCUUUCAAUGUAUUUUUUUUAUCCGCUUUUUUAGUUUUUUGCGCUGGUGUUUGAUCGCGAUCCUUUGUGUUUCGGAGAUUGCUUUGUCUCAUAUUUUAUCUUUUUAUCUUUUUCUGACAUCUGUUUUGUUUUAGCCAAGACAUUCUAUGGUAAGAUGAGAUAGGUUAGUCUUCUUUGUUGAUCAUUUUUCAGCUCCAAACCUUUAUUGAGCUAAUGUUACUAUGGUAUUUUGCUUUUUUUUUAACUGUGGAAGUUUUAUGUUUAGAUUAUGUAUUGCACUCUAAUUUCUUCUUAUUAAUUUGGUCUUUUUAUUUUUUAAUAGUUAAAUAAAUGUAUAAUUUGUAAAUUAAAUAAUAGAAAAUAAUAUAAAAAAAAUUUGUUAUUUUAUUUAUUUCUUUAUUCAUCUUGUAGUUUAGUGAACAAUAAAACAGAUUAUCAAACUUCAUACGAUAAUAGUUAGUACGAAAAUGAUUAAAUAGUUUACGAUUAGAAAACUUGGUCAAAUUGCAAUAAUCUGAAAGAAG
rnacentral:lncRNA from 1 species